ACUCCUACGGGAGGCAGCAGUGGGGAAUAUUGCACAAUGGGCGCAAGCCUGAUGCAGCCAUGCCGCGUGUAUGAAGAAGGCCUUCGGGUUGUAAAGUACUUUCAGCAGUGAGGAAGGUUCAUACGUUAAUAGCGUAUGGAUUUGACGUUAGCUGCAGAAGAAGCACCGGCUAACUCCGUGCCAGCAGCCGCGGUAAUACGGAGGGUGCGAGCGUUAAUCGGAAUUACUGGGCGUAAAGCGCAUGCAGGUGGUUUGUUAAGUCAGAUGUGAAAGCCCGGGGCUCAACCUCGGAAUUGCAUUUGAAACUGGCAGACUAGAGUACUGUAGAGGGGGGUAGAAUUUCAGGUGUAGCGGUGAAAUGCGUAGAGAUCUGAAGGAUACCGGUGGCGAAGGCGGCCCCCUGGACAGAUACUGACACUCAGAUGCGAAAGCGUGGGGAGCAAACAGGAUUAGAUACCCUUGGAGCACAGAG
rnacentral:rRNA from 1 species